rnacentral:miRNA from 1 species
UUUUCACAUAAAUUAAAAUAU